AUUGAACGCUGGCGGCAGGCCUAACACAUGCAAGUCGAGCGGUAGAGAGAAGCUUGCUUCUCUUGAGAGCGGCGGACGGGUGAGUAAUGCCUAGGAAUCUGCCUGGUAGUGGGGGAUAACGUUCGGAAACGGACGCUAAUACCGCAUACGUCCUACGGGAGAAAGCAGGGGACCUUCGGGCCUUGCGCUAUCAGAUGAGCCUAGGUCGGAUUAGCUAGUUGGUGAGGUAAUGGCUCACCAAGGCGACGAUCCGUAACUGGUCUGAGAGGAUGAUCAGUCACACUGGAACUGAGACACGGUCCAGACUCCUACGGGAGGCAGCAGUGGGGAAUAUUGGACAAUGGGCGAAAGCCUGAUCCAGCCAUGCCGCGUGUGUGAAGAAGGUCUUCGGAUUGUAAAGCACUUUAAGUUGGGAGGAAGGGCAGUUACCUAAUACGUGAUUGUUUUGACGUUACCGACAGAAUAAGCACCGGCUAACUCUGUGCCAGCAGCCGCGGUAAUACAGAGGGUGCAAGCGUUAAUCGGAAUUACUGGGCGUAAAGCGCGCGUAGGUGGUUAGUUAAGUUGGAUGUGAAAUCCCCGGGCUCAACCUGGGAACUGCAUUCAAAACUGACUGACUAGAGUAUGGUAGAGGGUGGUGGAAUUUCCUGUGUAGCGGUGAAAUGCGUAGAUAUAGGAAGGAACCACCCCAGUGGCGAAGGCGACCCCCCUGGACUGAUACU
rnacentral:rRNA from 1 species